UUUCCAUUGUACAAACAAUAUGUAUACAAUGAGCAUAUUACACCAACACGCUUUCUCUCUCCUUCCCCAAAAAUUAUUUCAAAAAUAUUGUUCCCUUUCCAUGUAUAUAUUUUAAUAGCAUAAAAGAUAAGAACUUAACCCUACUGAUUAAUACUAAACAAUCUUAAAAGAUUUCUAAUACAAUUGAACUAAAUUUGGUUUGGAAUAUACAAACCAAAACCCAAAAAAAUCAACUCUCUAUUUGAAACUUCACCACAUUGCUAGCAUCUCCAAAGCCAUUUAUUUAAUAAAUCGCCAAUAUUGAAAGUGAUAAUGACUUCAAGAUUAUCGCCCAUUAUAAUAUUGACUAUUUCGAGAUGCACCAAAGUUGCAAGUACAAAAUAUUGCCUAUAGUAAAAAGGAAAAAAAAAAAAUAAAUAAAGAAUACUUUAAUAACCAAGUAUCCUAAACAAACAAAAAUGAAUUUCAAAGCAAACUCAAAACUUUUAAUCAAAUAAUUUGAAUUUGUUAUAUUGGAAAAAAAAAAAAAAUUACAUCUACAAGGUGCCUGUUGGCAAUGUUCACUCACAAAUUAAUCACACUUUGCUUAUCUGGAGGAGCGACACAUUGCCACAAGGAACGAUAUGCUGGAAUGUUGGCUGCCUCAAUACCGAGGGCAAUGAGGUUGCGUCCAUGCUCCUGGAUAUCAAGGAACAACUGCAUGCAUAUCUUGUCAGUAUCAGAAACACUCUGGUCUGAGACAUCUAAGCUCGCUCCAGCUCGUCGUUGAGCACCCUGCCGUAUUCUCUGGAGUGAAGAUUCUGUUUUCCUAGCCACGCAGACAAGUUCAGCAGCUAAUUCAUAAUAAUGACCAGUUAUUUCAGUUGCAGCACAAAGCAGUAAUUCGUUCCUAGUUUCCUCGGUUAAAUAAGUCAUAGCUCGCUCCCCAUCCAGAAAAGCCUUUAAAGGACGCAACACCCCUGACACAUAGGGUGAGUGUCUGAGAGGAAGAGGCUUAUUAGUCAUCCUGUAAGUUGCAGUUAUUCCCUUCACCUGUCUCAAGUCCUACAUCAUUUUCAAGCCAAAGCACUUGUGUGAAUGAACUUCUAUUCAAAUGCUAGCGAUUGAAAAAGAUUGAAAGGCAGAUAAAAACUAAGCAUCCUAAUCCUACAAAUCAUGAAUUCAAUCACUUUUGACAGAGCUUACCUCAACAGCCUUAUCAACUAGCAACUCUAUGAUUGCGUGUGCUAAAUCAUUUAAUGACUUUCCACCUUGUAAAAUGCUUUGUUUUACCAGAUCAAGAAUGUCAGGAGAACAUGAAGAUAGGCACUGAAGUACAUGAUCGAGGUAGCCACCACAAACCUCAGUGGCCACGUAAGUUAUGUCGUGAAUAAUAUAAACAAAAUCAUCAGGCACAGCUGAAACAGCCCAUUCAUAUCCAGAAUGAGAGGCUGCAUUACUGGUCUUCCAGCCAGCCAGUCCAGAUGAUAACCAAUUUGAAUAUCUUGCAAGAAGCUGUAACGAUAAGCGAAGAAACUUGUCCGAGCAUGAGAGGAUGAGUACAUCUUCUCUCCAACAAGAUCUCAAGCUCUCCAAAAGAGUGGCGCUUUGCUUUAAUGUUAGGUCUUGCAAAUUUCCAUGACCAGAAUGUGAAUUCUGAACUGGGACAAGACUGGUUGCCGCAAGUGCUGAAUCCAGAGCCCCCGCUAUUUCCUGAAAUCGUAAAGAGAAAUAAACCCCAACAUUCCACUGCUUCAUGAACUCAGCAUAUACAGCUUCUGAUCGAAAUUUGGCGACUGCUGAUCUGGAUGGACAAUAGCCUUCAAGAUGAGCCAAGAAAUCUAGGCUUGACUUGUAAUUCAUCAGAAAUUCAGUUGGUCUUCCAGGGGAAAAGGCACCUGGCUUUCCCUUUUGAAUUGCUGAGAGAACCUCUUUCAAGAUUGAGUUGGCCAAGAAGUCAAAGACAUGCAGACCUGAAUUCUCUGCAGAAGAAAUUUCCAAAAGGAAUUUACAGUCUUUUUGAAUGAAUUGUUUAAUUUGGAGAUAAUCAUUUUCCAGUCCAUCUCCAGAUGCACCAGCAACCAUUCCUAAUGGUCCGUGUGGAAUAAUUUUCUGCAUUAGUGGAGCAACAAUAGUAGUGCGAAAAAUUUCUUCUGCACUCUUGGUGUUAUCAAUGGCAGCGUAUGCACGUAAACAAUUGUAUAUUGCAUUUUCAUCUUUGUGUUCCAGCCCAUCUAAAAAACAAUGUCCCAAACUUGCAUCCAACAAAAGGCUUGCACUUUGAAUUCUCUUCUCCAUAUUGUCAAUAAAAGGAAGGUUCUGUGUAUGAGCCAUAUAGAAUUUUAGCCGAUUCAUCUCACUGGCAAUUCUCUCCAGAAGCAUGCUUUGAGUCUCCCUGAAAUUUGUUCCAUUCUCAAUGGGUUGUAAGGAAGUGCCAUUGCUCAUAGCAUUCUUUAUACUUGAACUCAAAUCUCCAUUUGACCAGUCAGCUGGCACACUUGGUAGCUCCUUUAUAAGUUUCUCAACCUUAGAGACUACGUGAAACGUAUCCAACAAUAGCUCCAACACCUCUCUCGCUGCGGCUGCCUCCGAUCUCUGCUGCAAUCCAUUCCUCAAAGCCACAAGAGACGCAUCCACGCUUCCUCUAAAUCCCUCGAUCUUCUCCCGAAGCUCCAGCAGCGGGGCCCGCAUGCGCACCACGGCAGCGUCGACAUCGACGAGCUUGGUACUGAGAUUGACGAAAUCGGCAUAAUCACGGUUGAUGAGGUCGAUAAGCUCGUGGUUGAGGGAGGCAAGGUGGGCCUGGAGCUCCGAACGGAGCGUAUCGAAGGGAACGAAGGUGCGAAGCUCCGAGAUGUAGGACUCGGAGUCGAAGGUUGGGGAGAGAAAGAGAUUGGGUUUGAACCAGAGAGGGUGGGCGUCGAGUGGGUCCGAGAAGAGGUCCGUAGCAGACCUCGGCGGUGGAGUUGACAUCGAAUCCACCAUUUGGACUUGGGUUGGCUUGUUUUGUUUUCCUUUGGUAAGGAAGCUUUGGAAGAAGAGAUCAGAUCGCCCAUGCGAAUUAGAUUGAUAUUGGCAGGAUCUGUUAUUGUUGUCAAACGGCGAGUCGUUCUGGACGUGACGUCAGCUUGUUUUAAAAC
rnacentral:misc_RNA from 1 species